AUUGAACGCUGGCGGCAGGCUUAACACAUGCAAGUCGAGCGGGGUGAUGGUGCUUGCACUAUCACUUAGCGGCGGACGGGUGAGUAAUGCUUAGGAAUCUGCCUAUUAGUGGGGGACAACAUCUCGAAAGGGAUGCUAAUACCGCAUACGUCCUACGGGAGAAAGCAGGGGAUCACUUGUGACCUUGCGCUAAUACAUGAGCCUAAGUGGGAUUAGCUAGUUGGUGGGGUAAAGGUCUGCCAAGGCGACGAUCUGUAGCGGGUCUGAGAGGAUGAUCCGCCACACUGGGACUGAGACACGGCCCAGACUCCUACGGGAGGCAGCAGUGGGGAGUAUUGGACAAUGGGGGGAACCCUGAUCCAGCCAUGCCGCGUGUGUGAAGAAGGCCUUAUGGUUGUAAAGCACUUUAAGCGAGGAGGAGGCUCUUUUGGUUAAUACCCAAGAUGAGUGGACGUUACUCGCAGAAUAAGCACCGGCUAACUCUGUGCCAGCAGCCGCCGUAA
rnacentral:rRNA from 1 species